AGUCCUUCGGGAUGAGUAAAGUGGCGCACGGGUGAGUAAUGCGUAGAUAAUCUGCCUGGUGAUCUGGGAUAACAUCUCGAAAGGGGUGCUAAUACCGGAUAAGCCCACGGAGUCUUCGGACUUUGCGGGAAAAGAGGGGGACCUUCGGGCCUUCUGUCACCAGAUGAGUCUACGUACCAUUAGCUAGUUGGUGGGGUAAGAGCCCACCAAGGCUACGAUGGUUAGCUGGUCUGAGAGGAUGAUCAGCCACACUGGAACUGAGACACGGUCCAGACUCCUACGGGAGGCAGCAGUGGGGAAUUUUGCGCAAUGGGGGAAACCCUGACGCAGCAACGCCGCGUGAGUGAUGAAGGCCUUCGGGUCGUAAAGCUCUGUCAGAGGGAAAGAAAUGUGGGUGGCUAAUAUCCAUUCCGCUUGACGGUACCCUCAAAGGAAGCACCGGCUAACUCCGUGCCAGCAGCCGCGGUAAUACGGAGGGUGCGAGCGUUGUUCGGAAUUAUUGGGCGUAAAGCGCGUGUAGGCGGUUUUAUAAGUCUGAUGUGAAAGCCCCGGGCUCAACCUGGGAAGUGCAUUGGAAACUGUAAGACUUGAGUACGGGAGAGGGCAGUGGAAUUCCUAGUGUAGGAGUGAAAUCCGUAGAUAUUAGGAGGAACACCGGUGGCGAAGGCAGCUGCCUGGACCGAUACUGACGCU
rnacentral:rRNA from 1 species